GUUGGUGGUUAUAGCGUGAGGGCUCCACCUCUUCCCAUCCCGAACAGAGAAGUUAAGCCUCACAGCGCCGAUGGUACUACCCCUAAAAGGUGGGAGAGUAGGUCGCUGCCAACU
rnacentral:rRNA from 1 species